CUACGGGCGGCAGCAGUGGGGAAUAUUGCACAAUGGGCGCAAGCCUGAUGCAGCCAUGCCGCGUGUAUGAAGAAGGCCUUCGGGUUGUAAAGUACUUUUAGCGGGGAGGAAGGGAGUAAAGUUAAUACCUUUGCUCAUUGACGUUACCCGCAGAAGAAGCACCGGCUAACUCCGUGCCAGCAGCCGCGGUAAUACGGAGGGUGCAAGCGUUAAUCGGAAUUACUGGGCGUAAAGCGCACGCAGGCGGUUUGUUAAGUCAGAUGUGAAAUCCCCGGGCUCAGCCUGGGAACUGCAUCUGAUACUGGCAAGCUUGAGUCUCGUAGAGGGGGGUAGAAUUCCAGGUGUAGCGGUGAAAUGCGUAGAGAUCUGGAGGAAUACCGGUGGCGAAGGCGGCCCCCUGGACGAAGACUGACGCUCAGGUGAGAAAGCGUGGGGAGCAAACAGGAUUAGAUACCCGGGUAGUC
rnacentral:rRNA from 1 species